rnacentral:rRNA from 1 species
CUAAGAAAAAUCUUGUAAAUAAACAAGGUGAAAGGAAAAAUCUGAAUAACCUUAGGAAAAUAAAUCAAACGAGAUUCUACAUACAAUGUGAAGUAAAGUAGAAUAGCCUAUUAAUAUAUAAGUAAAAUGGAUUAUCUGUUUGAAUAAAGGGGAACCUUCCUCUAAGGCUAAAUAUGGUAUUAUACGCAAUAGUGAAUAGUACCGUGAGGGAAUUUUAUUUAAUAGUAGUUUUAUAAGCAGCUCGAGAAAAAUUUUAACAAAUAACAAGAGCGUACCUUUUGCAUAAUGGGUCAGCAAGUUAAUUUUAGAUGCGAGAAACAAAAUUAUGUGUUUAACGAAUUAAAUAUAGUUUUAGCAUAAUGACUUAGUUUCGUAGAGAAAUCGAUUAUGAAAAAAUGAGAAAGUAUCUAAAAUUAGACCCGAAGACUAGUGAUCUUACUAUUAUCAGGAUUAUAAAAGUCCGAACGGGUUAUCGUUGUAAAGAUAUCCGAAGAAUAAUGGUAAGUUAGUGAAAGACAAAACUGACUAGUUGAGCUGGUUGUUAAUUAGAGUAAGCGCCUAAUCAUAGCCAGGGCGGAAGUGAACCUUCUGCUAUAAACCUUCAAAUUGACGGGAAACCCCUAAAGCAAUCUUAACCAAACAAACAUGGUAACAUAGUUUGUGGCACAGGUAAUGACUCGUGGUAUGGUAAAAUCAAGAUUGAUAAAUGUGAAUUAAUGGGAAAUCCGCAGCCAAGCAGCACAAAUUGUGGUGUGCAGUUCAUCGACUAAAUGUAGGUUAGUUUUUUUAUUUAAAAAGUAAAAAUAAAAAGGCUUAAAAUAUAGUCAAGCCUCACUCGAAAGAGUGCAGGAUUUCCGCGAAACCUAUAUUAGUAGGUAAUUUAAAUAACAUCUUGGCAGGUACAGAACUGUGAUCUCGGUCAAAAUAUUUAUAAUUUAAUAACAUUAUAAAUUUGUAUAUAUCGGGGAAUCGUAAAGAUUUUAUCGGAGAGUAUUUGCACUCGGAAGGGCUAAGAUGAAUAUUAAAAAAUCGGACAUAGUACGAUAAGGUUGUAUGUCAAAAGGGAAACAGCCCAGAACAAGAGUUAAUAAGGUUCCAAAAUUAUUGUUGAGUGAAAUUAAGGAUGUGUCUUUUGAUACGAUCAAUUAAUAGGCUUGGAAGCGGCCAUAUUUUAAUGAUCUCGUAACAGAGCAUUGAUUUUUUAAGAAGAUCACACCGAAAAUAUAACGGAUCUAAACAAUAUACCGAAACCUUGUCCAUAUAUAGUUUAUUUUUUAACAAAAUAUAUAUGGGGUAGCGGAACAAUGGAUAAAUUAUAAUUACUUUUUUUUUAAUUUUAAUUUUUUAUUUUCCAUGUGAUAAUGCUGACAUGAGUAACGAAAAAGAUAUUCGCCUAAAGCUUAUGGUAUUUAAUAAAAACGGCUUCUAAUACAUAAGAAUCAUUUCUGGUUUUAUUUAUGAUGAAUAUAAUAAAAAUUUUGAUUAAAUCAAUUGAGUAUAUUAUAUAGAUGAAGAUGAAAUAUUAAAAAAACUAAUUAAAGUUAAAUUAGUUCAGGAAAAUACCAAGUAAAACCGUACCUAGAUACUAACACAAGUAAGCUAGUAGAGAAUACGAAGGCGUUUGAGUAAUCAAUCAUUAAGGAACUCGGCAAAAUGACUCGCGUAACUUCGGGAUAAGGAGAGCCAUUCUUUUUAAGUUUUUACUAAAACCAAAAGAAUAGGAAGCAUAGAAUAGUGUUGUACGACUGUUUAUUUAAAACAGAGCACUCUGCUAAGAUAGAUAUCAAUAUAUUGAGUGUGAUGUCUGCCCGGUGUCGGCUGGGUGACGGAUUUGCUUAGAAUUAAAAAGCUAGGUUUUGAAGAGAUCCCCGACAAACGGCGGCCUUACCGAUGAGGGUCCUAAGGUAGCGGAAUACCCUGGCCGUUAAAUGCGGUCUUUGCAUGAAUGAUGUAACGAUACAACAGCUGUCUCGAUGAUUGGCUCAGUGAAAUUGGAAUAGCAGUGCAGAUACUGUUUACCUCUAGAUAGACGAGAGUGCGACUAGAAAGUAUAUAAUAAUAAUAUGGUGAAAAUCCAUCUUACAGUCCAUUGUAUGAGCUCAUACGGUAUAUUAAAAAAGUAAUUUUUUUGUAUAAAGCCCGUAAAAAUUCUGCCUAAUUAGGGGGAUGAGCUAGAUUACUAUGAAUAAAUUAUUUGAAUCCAUGGUUAAAGCGUAAUCUAGAAAAAUUAUUUGAUAUCAAAUAAUUUUUUUGUUGAUUGUAUAAAAAGCUUCUCGUCUUUUUAUUAAUGGAUCAUAUAUCAACAUACGUGUAGUGGAAUUCUAAGGUAAUCAUUAGAGUAUUAUUGUAUAAACUAGGUAAGCCCAAUAAUGUCCUUUAAAGGAAGUUUAAUUGUAAAAUUAAAUAUACAUUAGUGGGUAAAGGAUGUUCUAAAAAGCAAAAGUCUUAUUGUAAUGAUAGGAAUAGAUUUUUAAUUGAUUCGAAAGAAUGCAGACUUAGAACUAGAAUUUAACAUUAUAUUAUAGUAAUAGAGAAUUGGCUGAGUGGUUUAUAGCGAUAAGCUUGAAACUUAUUUGAUUCAAAAAAAUCACAUCCGUUCAAAUCGGAUAUUCUCUGGUAUUUAUAAUUUAUAUUAUUUAAAUUAUAAUUUCUCUUUAAAUUAUAAUAUUUAAUAAAUAUAUAUAUAUAAUUCUUAAAUUCUUGAGCCGUAUGCGAUGAAAAUCGCAUGUACGGUUCUUGAAGGGGGAAAUUUUAGUAAUAAAAUGACCUAUCUUAACAGACCCUUUGCAGCUUUACUGUUACUACUUUAGAAUUUAAUAUAAGAAUUACAAGAGUAUAAGGUAGUUACUUUUUAAAAGUAACAAUGAUGUGACACCUUUAUUUACUUUAUUACAUUCGGUUGAUUAGAAGACAGUUUAUGCGGGGCACAGAUCCCAGAAAAAGUACCUGGGUAUAUCCAAAAUUCUAUUCGUGAAUUUACAUGUUAUAUGUAAAUAUGUAAUGAAAAAGUUUUUUGUUACAUUUUCAAUUUGUUAUUUUUAUAAUUUAUUCAGUUACUGUAAUUUUAAAUAUUUUUAUAUUUUUUAUUUAAGUAAGAUUUUAACUAUAUGGUGAAUAGUUGUAGAACGAAUUAAAAAAAAAUUUUUUUUUAAUUCAUAUUUGUAGUAUAUAAAUACUAUGAUAUUAAAUAAUACUGUAAAAGUUUAAUGGCUAAAUCUUGCUUUACUGUUAGACCUACAAGUCCAUCAGUCGCGUAAGCGGGGCAUAAGAUCGCAAGAUACUGAAAGGUAAGAUCUUGUAUUUUUGAAAAAGUUACGCUAGGGAUUAUAUGUUAGUCCCCCAAUAUUUGCAAAUAUUGGUAGUAGUAUGGGUAAAUUUCAAAAAACACUAUAUAUAUAGUUAAUUUGAAGCGAAACUUAUUUUAAAUAAGAACGUUCAACGACUAAACAGGCUAAUAAGCGCAAGAGAGUACAAAUUGAGUGCGCGGUUUGGCACCUCGAUGUCGGCUUAGCUCAUCCUCUUGAACGUAGGAAUCAUGAAGGGUUCGACUGUUCGUCGAUUAAAGAGCUACAUGAGUUGGGUUUAAUACGUCGUGAGACAGUAUGGUUUCUAUCUUCUAGAGGAAUUUUGAGUAAAAUAAAAAUAUCCCCUUUGUACGAAAGGAAUUGGGUAUGUUGACCUAUAGUUUACUUGUUGUUUAUUAAAUAAGUAUUUUAACUAAAGUACCGUAUUUUAAUAGGCAUAGCAAGAAAGCCACGUCAAUUAAAGAUAAGAGCUGAAAGCAUAUAAGCACGAAACUUAUUUUAUUAUACUCAUAUAAACGUAAUAUAACAAUACGAAUUAGGCUUUAAUUGUACGGACAUAUAUGUCUUUAGAUAUAAAGUACUAAUAAUUAAUUUACUAAAAAAUACA